GCAGUAAGUACCAUGGUUUAGUGGUAUAAUGCCCACCUGCCACGUGGACGACCCGGGUUCUAUUCCCGGUCAGUGCA